rnacentral:lncRNA from 1 species
CACCAUGGCUCCACCACCACCUCUGCUCCCGCUUCUCCUCAUCCUCCUCGUCACCGUUCCUCUCUUCCCCACCGCCGCGCCGACGGCCACGACCCUGCCGCUGUACCGCCACCUCCCGCACGUGGCCGAGGCCGAGGCCGAGGACGCGCACCACCACCCGCUGUCCCGCCUGGCCGCCGCGUCGCUGGCCCGCGCGUCGCACCUCAAGCGCCGGGGACGCGCCAGCCACCACAGCCAAAAAGGAUCAUCAUCAGGCGGCCACAAGUCAAUCCCAGCCACCGCCGCACUGUACCCGCACUCCUACGGCGGCUACGCCUUCACGGCGUCGCUCGGCACGCCGCCGCAGCCGCUCCCCGUGCUGCUCGACACCGGCAGCCAGC